AAGGGCACCACAAGAACGCGUGGAGCAUGUGGCUUAAUUUGACUCAACGCGGGAAAUCUUACCGGGUCCGGACACACUGAGGAUUGACAGGCAAUAUUAUAAUUUUUUAAUUGAAAUAAAUUUUUAUUAAUUUAUUUUUUUUAUUUUUUAUAUGUUAAAUAUGCUAGUCCUUUCAUGAUUAUGUGAUAGGUGGUGCAUGGCCGUUCUUAGUUCGUGGAGUGAUCUGUCUGCUUAAUUGCGUUUCACUAUUGGGCUUAUAUAAUUACGUAUGUUGUUAACGCUUUGACCCCUUUCUACGGAUUGUGCGUGUCUUUGUCUCGUUUAACUCAUACAAUUAAGCCCUGAAAGCAACGAACGUGACCGCAACCUCUUGUUGCUCUCAUAUUACCUUAUACUGCAUAAUAUUUGAAUAAUUUAUUUUAUUUUUUUUUUAUGUUUAAGAGAGCUUUCUAAACUAGAGGGACCGCUGUUACUUUCUUAAACCAGAGGAAGGUUGCGGCAAUAACAGGUCUGUGAUGCCCUUAGAUGUUCCGGGCUGCACACGUGCUACAAUGAUUAUUGCAGUGAGCAUCUCAUUUUUUACACAUCGCAUGCGCGAGUCCAUUUAUUCAGAUAUCUUUCAUUACUUUCGGGUAAUGUAGUGUUUGCUUUAAAUGUGUAUCUCUGCGCGCGAUAAAGCCUGCUUCGAAAGUAAGUGGGUAAUCAAUUAGAAGUAAUGAUUUCCUUUUUUUUUCUGCACACAUAUAUAUGGCACUUAUACCCGGGUAACCUCGUUGUUACUUUUGUGCGUAUACGUGAUAAUCUUUACCGAUUAUACUACCAUAUGUGCAAUUGUCAAUUCAUGGUGGGGACAGACCAUUGUUAAUUGUUGGUCUCGGUCUUAACUAGGAAUGCCUUGUACGGAUCUUUGGUUCAACAAACCAUCCGGAAUACGUCCCUGCCCUUUGUACACACCGCCCGUC
rnacentral:rRNA from 1 species